ACGAUGAAAUGUAGGGUAGUGGUGGUUGGAAACUCUCUUCUGAGGAGGAUGGAAGCACCCAUCUGUUGCCUUGACAUGGCAUCCUGGGAGGUACGCUGCCUGCUAGGGCCUCAUACUGAGACUUACAGG